AUGGCUGUAAUGUCGAGGCACAUCGGAGGGCCGCCGCCGGCCGCCGUGGCUGAAACGGGCAACCGCCCGGCGGAGUCGCCCCAGCACGAUACCGUCGGCAAGAAAGCUGACGGCGGCGAGGUCGACAACUUGUCCCCCGUGGAGGACAUCCAGGAAGAGAUCGACGGAUUAGAAUCGUCGACGGUCGAAAUGGAACAAGGCUCCGCUCAGAAAUCGCUCUCUAUCGAGGUGGACCAGGCUGCGGCAGGUACGGACAAGGAGGAGACCACCGCAGAGGUGGCCGAAGCCGCCGCCGCCGGAGUCGGCUCUCGUAGCAAGAACUUCGACCCGCUGGAGGGAAUGAUUGCGGAUAAGUCUGAGUGCAGCGGAGAGGAACUGCCCGGCGCCGCCACGGAAGCUACAGCCAGCAGAGCGCGCGGGCAGGGAUUGACUCUGGCUGACAAGACUGCCUGCGGCACUUCGGCGGGAUCAGCGAGCGACGCCAAGCGCAUCGAAGCGCCGGCCAAGCUCGAGGCGAAUCCUCUCAUCACCCUAGUAAUUGCCGAAACGGGUUCCGAAAGCACUGAAUCACUGAAAGGGGUUGACAAUGCAGAGUUCUUCAUACAAAUCGACACAGACUCUCACGGCAUGGGGCUGGCAGCCAUGGUGGAAACAGAGAAUGGAGCUUCUUUGUCCACCAAGUCUCAGCCGAGGGUUGAACAGCCGCCCCUGCCUGUCCCUAUAGUCUCGCACCACCGUGGCACUGCCCAGGAGCUGAUGAAAGUUACCAGUAGAGUGGAUGCAGAACGUAAGUUGAAAGAGAUCGAACUGUCGAACAUUCAGAAGCACACAAAUGACCGUGACAUUGGCAGAGGUCGUCAGGACACAGGCACCAGCAACAGAACUCAUUUCUCACACAGCUCUUCUGGGGAGUGCUCAGCUCAACUUCUGGAUCAUUUAGGGACAUAA
rnacentral:rRNA from 1 species